UACGUAGGGGGCAAGCGUUGUCCGGAUUUAUUGGGCGUAAAGAGCGUGUAGGCGGCCGCACAGGUCCGUUGUGAAAACUGGAGGCUUAACCUUCAGACGUCGAUGGAAACCGUGCGGCUAGAGUCCGGAAGAGGAGAAUGGAAUUCCCGGUGUAGCGGUGAAAUGCGUAGAGAUGUGGAGGAACACCGAUGGCGAAGGCAGCCCCCUGGGUCAAGAUUGACGCUCAUGCACGAAAGCGUGGGGAGCAAACAGG
rnacentral:rRNA from 1 species